rnacentral:rRNA from 1 species
AUUGAACGCUGGCGGCAUGCUUUACACAUGCAAGUCGAACGGUAACAGGCCGCAAGGUGCCGACGAGUGGCGAACGGGUGAGUAAUGCAUCGGAACGUGCCCAGUCGUGGGGGAUAACGCAGCGAAAGCUGCGCUAAUACCGCAUACGAUCUCUGGAUGAAAGCGGGGGACCGAAAGGCCUCGCGCGAUUGGAGCGGCCGAUGUCAGAUUAGGUAGUUGGUGGGGUAAAGGCCCACCAAGCCAACGAUCUGUAGCUGGUCUGAGAGGACGACCAGCCACACUGGGACUGAGACACGGCCCAGACUCCUACGGGAGGCAGCAGUGGGGAAUUUUGGACAAUGGGCGCAAGCCUGAUCCAGCAAUGCCGCGUGCAGGAAGAAGGCCUUCGGGUUGUAAACUGCUUUUGUACGGAACGAAACGGUUCGGGUUAAUACCCUGGGCUAAUGACGGUACCGUAAGAAUAAGCACCGGCUAACUACGUGCCAGCAGCCGCAGUAAGAC